rnacentral:rRNA from 1 species
AAAGAAAAACCUUCACCCCUUUCCACGGUCGCCCGUACCGGAAACCGACACAGGUGGGUGAGUGUAAAUGCACUAAGGUGAGUGAGUGAAAUCUCGUCAAGGAACUCGGCAAUCUAGCCCCGUAACUUCGGAAGAAGGGGUGCCUCGCAAGAGGUCGCAGUGAAUGGGGUCAACCGACUGUUAAACAAAAACACAGCACUCUGCUAAGUUUAACGACGAUGUAUAGGGUGUGACACGUGACCAAUGCGGAAAGAUUACGGUAAGAGGUUAGCCGCAAGGCGAGGCUUUGAGCCCAAGUCCCCGUGAAUGUCGGCCGUAACUAUAACGGUCCUAAGGUAGCGAAAUUCCUUGUCGGGUAAGUUCCGACCUGCACGAAUCGUGUAACGAGUUGACCGCUGUCUCGACGAGAAGCUCAGCGAAGUUGUAGUGGCGGUGAAGAUGCCGCCUACCCGCAGUAGGACGGAAAGACCCUAUGCACCUUUACUGUACGCUGUGACUGGUUUCUUGAUUUUAAUGCUUAGCGUAAGUGGGAGACUUUGAAGACAUUCUUUCGGGGAUGUCAGAGUCGCCAAUGAAACACCACCCUUUGACAUUAGGAAAUCUAACCCAUCUGGGGACACUCAUAGCCGUCAGUUUUACUGGGGCGGUAUCCUCCUAAAGAGUAACGGAGGAGCACGAUGGUUGGCUCAGUCUGGUUGGCAAUCAGACGUCGAAUGCAUGGGCACAAGCCAGCUUAACUGUGAGACCCACAAGUCGAGCAGAUACGAAAGUAGGUCCAAGUGAUCCGGUGGUUGAAUGUGGAAUUGCCAUCGCUCAACGGACAAAAGGUACGCUAGGGAUAACAGGCUGAUCGAGCCCAAGAGCUCAUAUCGACGGCUCGGUUUGGCACCUCGAUGUCGGCUCAUCACAUCCUGGGGCUGGAGAAGGUCCCAAGGGUCCGGCUGUUCGCCGGUUAAAGUGGUACGCGAGCUGGGUUCAGAACGUCGCGAGACAGUUCGGUCCUUAUCCACUGUGGGCGUUAGAAAAUUGAGGAGUUCAAACCUUAGUACGAGAGGACCGGGUUUGACGAACCUCUGGUGUUCCAGUUGUCUUGUCAAAGGCACAGCUGGGUAGCUAUGUUCGGAAGGGAUAAGCGCUGAAAGCAUCUAAGCGCCAAGCCCAUUCCAAGAUGAGUUUUCUUUGAGAACCGUGGAAGACCACCACGUUGAUAGGCUGGAUGUGUAAGUGCAGUAAUGUGCUAAGCUUACCAGUACUAACGUCC